AAUUCCUCGGGGAUAGAAGUAGGGACACAAACUGACACUGUGUGUCUGUGUCAGUUCUCAGAGCGCAUUUCGUUGCAGUGUACAGCGUGUUCACAACGUUAUUUCCGAAUGGAGGUCCUCCGCGCUGUCUUACUGCACGGCUUUGCAGCUGUGGCCUGUCUGUUGUUAUCUUUUUUCUUUAUCUUUUGUGUACUGUCUAUUUUCUCCCCGGAUACUGCGUAGCUGUCUUUGCUACGCGAAUGGAACAUCCGUUCUUUUCUUGGAACUCAAAUUAACACCAGGGUUUAAACGUAUGCCCAAUUUUACGGAAUUUACUUACAGUGAGUCAACAACGCAGAGUGCGUGCGAACGAAUGUAUGAGAUACGGCGGUUCCUGAACGCUGCCAGCACAAGAAGCUGUCAGCAUACUUUAGAGCUAGCGCAGCAUAAAGAAUGACGAGAGAGAUACCAGUAUAGAAAAGACGUAUGGAUGAUGUAUGUUUGCGUGAAGGUGUUACCACCACCGUGACUGGCCAAAAGACAUCCCCUCCUUUCAGCAACAACAUGUAUACAUGCCCAGCGCUCGACAACCCUGGAAAGUCUUUUCCCUGUACAAGGAGCGUCCGCUUCCCGCGGAUCAAGCAGCUUCCGAAGAAUCACCCUGUACAAACGAGUGAGCUACACGUGCAGUGAAGACAACAAUGUGGUGGUGACCUAGUAGUUGACCUAGCAAGCCAGAAAGACAAGAAGUGUGACGUUGGUGGUGUAACCGCUUGCCAUAGCUCGCAAGCAGGGAAGAAAAAGACAGAGGCUGAGCCCCUUCAAGAACAAAAACCAUCAUGGUCUGCUGAUGUCCAUGGAAGACGACACUGCAGGGAGCAGGGGGUUCGGGAAUCGUGGACUGGAAACAUGGUCCCGAGCGUAGCUAUUCCUAAAGCCUCUGUAAUGAAUGCAUGAAUGAUUUCAGGAGCAUGAGGCUGCAGUUCCUGAUCUGUAAAUAAAAGCUUCGAUGUUGAUGUUGAUGUUGACAAAAAAAAAAAAAUUAGGAGAAAUAAAAGCUUCGAAAAGUGGC